rnacentral:lncRNA from 1 species
CAGGUUCGCAUGCUCGCGACGAGCUCGACUCUGCCCGCCGCCGGCCGCCCACCGCCAGUGAAUCGCGUCCUCGCGUGGCCGCACGCCCGUGCGUCCGCCGUCUGCGGUUCAUGCCAAUCUACCGGUCUUCCAAGCCUAGCCCAUGUUGCGAGCCGCACGUCGACGUGCCGCCAUCGCUGCUCCCCUUCGUGAUUGCGGUGGCUGGCCUAAGCACGAGAUGCAGAUAGAUGAAUUAGAUCAGCUGUGUCCAAAUUGGAACCUGCGCGCACCGGAUCCGCGUGCCCUCGGUUGGGGAGGCUGGCGACCCGUACAGCGAUGCUGGAGAAUGCGGCUCAGCCUCGGGCAACGGGACUUCUCCGUCGUCUCGCCAAGCGACGUGAACACCGUCUCCAAGCAGCUGCGGGGUGUUUUCUGCAAAAUUUACAUCAUAGAGACGGACUCAAGAGACCUGUUGUACGUGCCCUUAGCAAGCUGAAAUUCUUGCAGUA